GCCGGCUUUUCUGAGCGCUCCAGCUACAGCUUGAAGGUGCAGAGGCUGUCACCAGACUGGUUGCCCAACGAAAUGGUUUAAAAUAUGUUAUGAAGGUGGCAUGCUGUGGUCUGCGGUGGGGUAUGAAUUCUGCUGAAGUCCGUGUGCUUUGCAGCAGUGCUGCUUCUUCUCACAUCAGGAAAAGGCACUGAAUUUCCUCUUCAAGUUCAUGGGCAACCUGUAAUCCUAAACUCCUCGACAGAUACUGCCUAUUUCUUGAUUUAUGUCUACCUUUUUA